rnacentral:rRNA from 1 species
CCUACGGGUGACAGCAGUAGGGAAUAUUGCUCAAUGGGGGAAACCCUGAAGCAGCAACGCCGCGUGGAGGAUGAAGGUUUUCGGAUUGUAAACUCCUGUUGUUAGAGAAGAGAAUGACGGUAUCUAACGAAUAAGCACCGGCUAACUCCGUGCCAGCAGCCGCGGUAAUACGGAGGGCGCAAGCGUUACUCGGAAUCACUGGGCGUAAAGGGCGCGUAGGCGGGAUAGCAAGUCAGAUGUGAAAUCCUAUGGCUUAACCAUAGAACUGCAUUUGAAACUGUUAUUCUAGAGUAUGGGAGAGGUAGGUGGAAUUCUUGGUGUAGGGGUGAAAUCCGUAGAGAUCAAGAGGAAUACUCAUUGCGAAGGCGACCUGCUAGAACAUAACUGACGCUGAUGCGCGAAAGCGUGGGGAGCAAACAGGAUUAGAUACCCUAGUAGUC